UGGGGGAUAUUGCACAAUGGGCGCAAGCCUGAUGCAGCGACGCCGCGUGGGGGAUGAAGGCCUUCGGGUUGUAAACUUCUUUUGCUCUGAACAAGGCGCACUUUGGGGUGUGUUGAGUGUAGGGGUUGAUUAGCGCCGGCUAACUACGUUCCAGCAGCCGCGGUAAUACGUAGGGCGCGAGCGUUGUCCGGAAUUAUUGGGCGUAAAGGGCUUGUAGGUGGCUUGUUGCGUCUGUCGUGAAAGCUCAUGGCUUAACUGUGGGUUUGCGGUGGGUACGGGCUGGCUUGAGUGCAGUAGGGGAGGCUGGAAUUCCUGGUGUAGCGGUGGAAUGCGCAGAUAUCAGGAGGAAUACCGGUGGCGAAGGCGGGUCUCUGGGCUGUUACUGACACUGAGGAGCGAAAGCAUGGGGAGCGAACAGG
rnacentral:rRNA from 1 species